rnacentral:sRNA from 1 species
GCGGCCGCCACCGCUGCCGCCUCGGCCAGGCCCAGCUGUUUUGCCGCCGAGUCCGAGUCCUCCAUACGGACUCCACCGAGUCCGCCCGAAGGCGCUGUCCGGGACCGCCCGAAGCGCCAGGCACCGAGCCCGAAGCGGGGCCCGAAGAGGCCGCCCGAGUUGGGCCGAGGCCGCCCGAAGCCACCGCCCGAGCAGCGACCGAAGAGGCAGUCUGACGCCCGCCGAACCGAGCCGAAGCUGCCCGCAGAGCCGAGCUAAUGUCCCGAGUGUAGAACCGAGGCUCUCCGAAGUUUCCCGAAGUGCAGAAUCGAGCUAGUACGAAUGGUCCCGAAGUUUCACGAAACCUUACGAGCGUUUCUUCCUCGCUGUCUAGGAAGCUGAUCUGACUGUAGUCACUAACCGAUGGAGCUGGCUGGCUCUGGGUAGUUUCUCGCCGGCUUCCAACGAAAUUUAGGUUCGCGGACAGACACUGGAGCCACUAGAUUUUUUCAACCCCCUCUGGCGGCGGCGGAAGCCGAACCCAUACGAGGCCUAGCCGAACUCCGCCGAAUGCCUCCGAGCAGAGUUCUCCGGAGCCUCAGUGCCCGCCUCCUUCUAUCCGAAAGCUCCCGAGUGUUGCCGGACGGGAGAAUCGGGCCUCGGCCGCGGUCGGACGCUCGCUGCAGCGCGCGGCGGGAGGAGUGAAGAUGGCGGGAGGGUGCGGCCAAGAGGCUGCUGGGAUUGUGGCGGACCCAGCGGCAAAAUGGCGGCCGUGCGGCCAGGGAGAGGCUCCUUCAAGGUGCUCUCGUCAGUUCCUCUUCAGAUGCUGUUCCACCUCAGUGGGCUGUACUAUGCUCUGUACUUCCUAGCCACACUCCUGAUGAUUGUGUACAAAAGUCAGGUUUUCAGCUAUCCUUCUAACUGUCUGGUCCUGGAUCUGGUUCUCUUGCUUCUGAUGGGAAUUUUCGAAGUAGCUCAGCUAUACCUAGGCACACAAGGCAACCUGACGGAGGCUGAAGUGCCACUGGCAGCCAGCCUGGCAUUCACAGCAGUCAGUGGCCUCCUUUCUGUUCACUUCCUACUCUGGCAGACCUUGGUCCUGUGGAUGGACUCAGUCCUCAGCACGGUUCUCCUGGUGCUGCAUGGGCUGGAGGCCGGCCUGCAAGUGGUGGUCAUUGCUGAUUUCAUCAGGUAGACAGACCGGGACAACCUGCACAGCAGUGCUCCUCAGCCUCCAGCCAGUUCCUUUGCCCAGAAAGGAGGGAAUCUUUUUUAUUGCUUAUCUUAGAUGGUUUAUACAUCUUUUUUAGUGAGGGGGGUACAAGACCUAGGGAAGGACAGACUUAGAAGCUUGAAGAUGGCCAUCAUGGACAAUAGUCUAGUGAAUCCCAGAGAUGUGUACCCAUGUCCUGUGCUGGGGUGCUGACUAUAGCAGGACCACCAGUGAUCCCCAGGCUAGUGAAAGGCAAAGCCUUUCAGGAAGUCAUCGGCCAGGAUAGCCCUGCAGCUCCACCUUGUCUCGGCCCUAGAAACACAGAAUCCUGGCAGGAGAACUUGGCUGUGCUGGUCUGCCACCAUGUGUUUUCUCACACACAGAUUACUGAGUUCUGUGCGGGAGCACUGGCCCUGGGUCUUGUUCUGAGAGCCUGUUGUACUUAGUUGCCAGACUUUGGUCCAGAGCUGGGAUCCCCCUGGAGCUGCAGGAUGGCAGGCCUUGUGUUCCAGUGUCCCUCCAAUUUGCCUCCCCAUCAGGCCAGCCCUGAAUGAAACGGCUUGGUUUCCAAAAGGAAACAAAAGCAAAUGUAUUCCAGGUCUGGUGGCACACAAACCUUUAAUCCCAGCACCCAAGAGGCAAAGAUGGGUAUAUGUUUGUAAGUUCAAAGCCAGCCUGUCUGGCCUACAUGGUAAUUUGAGGGUCACCCAGGGUUACAUGGUGAGACUGUGUCUUUAAAAAAAAAAGUAUGCAGGCCAGAGAGCUGGCUAUUAUGGCCAUCUCAGCCAUGUUCAGGGCUGGAGGUAGGGCUGGGGAAGUUCCAAGGAGCAGAAGACAGAAUAAAAGAACAACUUUUAGUCAGGUUGUCUGGGAGUCACAGUUCACCAAACUGCAGCCUUUGUAGAGUGCCAAGUGAGUUUCAUCUCCUCUCCUCCUAGCCUGUUUUUUCUCAAAAAGUAUUUAAGCAGUAUUUUUUUUUUUACAGUUUCUGUCAUUCUGUUAGGUGUUUUCUGUUUACAAUGCUAUGUUCAAAUAUCUAGUUUCUCUUUUAAAAAAAUAAAUAAGUAGUUAUGCCGUCA